rnacentral:tRNA from 1 species
GCCCCUGUGGUGGAAUUGGUAUACACAGCAGGUUGAGGGCCUGUGCUUCUUGAAGCAUGCUGGUUCGAGUCCAGUCGGGGGCA